rnacentral:lncRNA from 1 species
AGACAGGAAAUAGGAUCUUAGUGGGUGGCCGCCAAGAGCGCACAGACUUUGAAGCAGGAAAAGACAGUCUCUAGAGCAACAUGGAAAGGAUCCAGGUAAGGGAGCUUCUGUCGUCAGGGCCACAUUGGCACCAAGGGGGUGCAGCAGAGGGGCUGACUUAGAAGAAGGCUAGUUUCUUCCCAAUGCCACCCUAUUCCACCACCCCACCACCCACGUUCUAAAUGGUUUUGCGGAAGUGAAUUGCUUAAUUUCCCAUCUUUUAGCCUUUAAAACAUAUUUUUCUCCCUCAAGUAUUUGUUUUCAGGCAAAAGCAAGCCUCCAAAAGCCCCUUGGUUCUUCUCUGUGUGUCUCGCCCCUUCUGCCUUGUACACCAGACUGCCGGCAAGCAAGCGGGGAGGUGGCGAACAGCUGGGAUCCUCCAGUGAAAAGUUUGCUCAGCGCGAGAGAUGUCAAGAGGCUGGGAUUGUCGCCUAUCGGGAGAAGAAUUCCACAGAUGAAUUGGUUCUGCCCUGUAUCUUUGAAUGGUUUUUAUUUUCUGAUGUCCAGUGUGGCAGCCUGGCAGAGACAUUUAGUUGAAAGAACACGGGGCUCUGGAAACAACCAGUCCUCCUUGGUUCAUAUUCUCGUGUUGUCACUUAUUAACCGAGUGACAUUGGGUAAGUUCUUUUGUCCCUUUGAGCUAGUGUCUUCAUUCCAAUAACUAUUCCUACCAUCUGAGUUUGCUAAUGGGUCUCAGGGAGAGGUAAGACAUAUAUCACUUGGUACCUCAUUUCAUUUCUCUGAUAGCAGAAAGUGGGAAGGUCAUGACCAGUCAAGGGGCCUCUGAGUCAAUCACGAUUUUUCCUUCUGCAGAGUGUAAUACCUUCUUUUCUUCCUGCCACAGAAAAAAACCACACUUGCUGAGCCAAAGAAGACCUUUCUGUUUUUUGAAUAGCUUUGACUAGGUACAUUUCUUGAAAAGGAUUCUUCUUUGGCAGGAGAAGCCCAGAUUUGAGGUCCCAUGGUCCAGGAGGCAUCUCAUAUACCUCUCUUGGUAUGCCUACUGUCCCAUUUUAUUGACAUCUCUCAGCAGAGUGGGAGAUAAGAGGAGAUGAUGCUGGAAUUCUUUCUGAGUAUCAGUCUAGCAUUGGCGGAGGGUCGAAAAACUGUAAUAAAACUCUCUAAGGAUUUGUCUAAUUCAAUAACUUAGAUCUGAGCCAACUAUCAUCUCCUUGGAGAAGACUUCCCUGACCGUAUGAUCAAAAUUACUUCCCCCAGUCACCCUCUAGUCAUCAGUGUUCUUUUAUCCUCAUCCCAGCACUCACCACUCUCUGAAAUUACUUGCUUAUUUAUAUGUGUACUUGUUUAUGUUUCUUGUUUGUUCCCUCCACUGAAACAAACUCUAUGACAGCUCUUAUUUUCUUUUCUAAGCCUCAUUGCUUAGAACAGUGUAUGACAAAAGUAGGCCCCCAAUAAAUAUUGUUACAUAAAUAAUUAGACUAUAGAUCUCACUAAUGUUGGAAAUGACCCCAGCAUCUAUAAAGGAAUAAAUAUAGCAAAAGAUAUAGUUCUGGCUGGGCUCAGCUAAUCUCACCUGGUUCAUCUACCUGGCUGGGCAUGUAUGGCAGGGCAGAGUUUCUUUUUUAGAUUCGAACUGCAUCCUAGUUGAACACACUGAUAUAUCCAUAAUGAAGUGACUACUCAAGAAGAAUCAGGCAGCGAUUGCAGUUUUAUUUAUUUCAUGGAGUAAUAAUCACCACAGUUGAUCAUGCCUCCUCCUUUUUGAAAACAGUUUCUUACCUGUGUUCUCUCUUGAGUUUAUCAGCAGUUGCACCCCACUUCAGUGUCCACCAUUGGCUCCUGUCAUCUCCCCAACCUUGACUCUCUUCUCAUCUCUGUCAUCGUUCAUUCUCUAGGUGACUGUUUUAGUCACAUGGCCUUGUUAGGAGUCAGAAGCAGAUACCCCCAAAUGUGGUGCUUUUAAACGCUGAACUGAAGAAGCCUCGAGGUCUCUCUGGCAUCUCCCUACUCCUGACAUCUCUCCUCAAACCUUUAUCUGCCUAAGAUCUAGACAUGCCAAAAGGAACAAUUGUUUCUUCUUCCCCUCUCUGUAAGUCCAAGAGUGUAAUCACACCUGAACAGAACCUUUUCCAAGGAAAUGUACAAGUUCAUCUCUGUUCCCUGAGCCACUCAUUCUCCCUAGUAAUCCCCUCAACAGAAUCGCUCUUCCCUCCCCUCCCAUAACCUGCUCCACCAGGAAGGUGUGUAAGCUUCUGAAUGCUCUUGAGGGGUGGGCAGUCUCUCGGUGGUUCUCCCCAUGUAUAUACAUUAAAUAAAUUUGUUUGCCUUUUCUCCAAUUAACCAGUCUUUUGUGAGUUGAUUUUUCAGUGAACCUUCAGAGCGUGAAGGAGAGGUUUCCCUUUGGUCCCUAUAGCCUCAGAUACCUUCCCAUUCUGACAACCAUGACAUUAUAUUUUCAGCCUAGACACAUAUUUCCAGGAUGUGUGAUAUACCCAUUUGGAUGUUGAGGUUGAUUGUAUGAUGUCUACAGCCUUUGCUGUGUGACUCUGCAUUCCCUCUCACUGAGAGGCAGGAUCUACUCUUCCUGCCACCCCUGUGGAAUCUGGGCUUAGUCAUGUCACUUGCUUGACAGGAUGAGGCCAAAUUCAAUGUACUGUAGGGAAAGAAAUAUCUUUUCCUCACCUAUCACUAUAUUCAUGGGUGAGGCCCCUAUAACAAAAGACAGAUUAAAAAGACAAAAGCAAAAACACGUAUUUAAUAUAAGUUUUGUGUGGCAUGGGAGCCUCCUGAAGAAAUAGUUAAACGUGUGUAUUUUUAUGCUUAGGUGUAGGAAGAGUGGACAGUCAUGGAGAAAUAUGAUUGGAGGACAAAAAGCUGUGAUCUGCUGGUACUAAACUGGGAGGAACUUAGCGAGGCUUGUGUAUUCUGAUUUUUCUCUGUGUCCCUGUGUCUUCAGAGAUAAGGAUGUUUCCUUUUCUCUGGGUAUAUGAAGGGUACUUCUUGAAUGAGGGUCUUAUGAUCUGUUUCAGAAGAGAAGGGUAGGAGAAGGUCAGAGAGUGACCUUCCUAGGUUUUAUGACCUGCUUCAAGGGAGAAGGGUGAGGGAGGAAUGAUAGUGACCUUCCUGCUUCUGCUGUUUUCUCAAAUGCCAAUGUGCCAUAUUUUGGGGUAAGAUGUUCUGAACCCCAUCAGUGUGCACAUACUACGCCUAGUCCUCAAGAGUGCUUGUGUAUUUCCACUUAUUGUCUCUUGCGCUUCUGCUACUACCAUGAGAAGCACAAGGCUCAGCUAACCCUCUGGCCCUGAGAGGAGAAUGAGAAGGCGGGACGCAGUGGUGUAUGCCUGUAAUCUCAGCUACUCAGGAGGCUGAGACAGGAGAAUCACUUGAACCCGGGAGGCGGAGGUUGCAAUGAGCUGAGAUCACGCCAAUGGACUCCAGCCUGGGCAACAAG